GCUGUGAUGGCCGAGUGGUUAAGGUGUUGGACUUAUAAUUCAAUAGGGUCUGCACAGGUUCUAAAACUGUUCACAGGG